rnacentral:tRNA from 1 species
AUUUAAAUAGCUUAUAGAAGAGCAUAACACUGAAGAUGUUAGGGAAGUUGUUUAACUUUUAAGUA